rnacentral:rRNA from 1 species
ACGCUGGCGGCAGGCCUAACACAUGCAAGUCGAACGGUAACAGGAAUCAGCUUGCUGNUUCGCUGACGAGUGGCGGACGGGUGAGUAAUGUCUGGGAAACUGCCUGAUGGAGGGGGAUAACUACUGGAAACGGUAGCUAAUACCGCAUAACGUCGCAAGACCAAAGAGGGGGACCUUCGGGCCUCUUGCCAUCGGAUGUGCCCAGAUGGGAUUAGCUAGUAGGUGGGGUAACGGCUCACCUAGGCGACGAUCCCUAGCUGGUCUGAGAGGAUGACCAGCCACACUGGAAC